rnacentral:rRNA from 1 species
AGUGAACGCUGGCGGUAGGCCUAACACAUGCAAGUCGAACGGCAGCACAGUAAGAGCUUGCUCUUACGGGUGGCGAGUGGCGGACGGGUGAGGAAUACAUCGGAAUCUACUUUUUCGUGGGGGAUAACGUAGGGAAACUUACGCUAAUACCGCAUACGACCUACGGGUGAAAGCAGGGGAUCUUCGGACCUUGCGCGAUUGAAUGAGCCGAUGUCGGAUUAGCUAGUUGGCGGGGUAAAGGCCCACCAAGGCGACGAUCCGUAGCUGGUCUGAGAGGAUGAUCAGCCACACUGUCACUGAGACACGGUCCAGACUCCUACGGUAGGCCGCAGUGGGGAAUAUUGGACAAUGGGCGCGAGCCUGAUCCAGCCAUACCGCGUGGGUGAAGAAGGCCUUCGGGUUGUAGAGCCCUUUUGUUGGGAAAGAAAAGCAGCAGGUUAAUCCCCCGCUGUUCUGACGGUACCCAAAGAAUAAGCACCGGCUAACUUCGUG